GCUUUGUCCAGGUAGAGUGUUGUGACUGAACUUUCUUAGCUAAGAGAUCUCGGUUGUACAUGCCACUGGAAUUCUGCUCAGCCUAAUCUGAAACUUGACACAGAAUACUGUUUAGUUUUAUCUAACAAAAUAUGGAUGGAAUAGUGGGUGACCUUGAAACGGGGCAAGCAGGGAACGACGUGACACAUGAGGAAAUUAUUUGUUCUGUUGUUGGAGCAAGGUGUCCUGCAGUGUUAAGUAUGGUUGAAGAAACCAAGGAGGUAGAGAAGGAGAGGGACCAGGGAGAGGAUGGCUCAGUGAAAAAGCCCCUGCUUCUACAACAGCAUGUCCUGGGAGAGGUCAAGCAAAUUCACAGACCAGUCACCCAAACAGGGCCAGCGGAUGGGGCUGACCAAUAUACAUCUGUUCAACAAGAGCUCUAUUUUGGCAACACAGAGCAGCCUCAAAGCAAAGGGACAAGUGUCGGGAGUCAAAGAAAUAGCGACAACCUAGGGGACAAUGAGUGCCCCAUCUGCAGUGAACUGUACGACUCUCAGGGAGACCAUCGGAUGGCAUUGUUGAACUGUGACCACACGUUGUGCCAUUGCUGUCUGGCCACCAUCCUUAAGCGUGCAGCAGAUCCUAGCCGGGUGCAGUGCCCCUUAUGUCGACAGAAAACUCCUCUCCUUCACUGGGAGAUCCAGAGGAUGCAGGAGGAUAUGAUGUACCACCAGGUCAGUAGCUCUGAACGUGGACUCAUCAUCACAGACACUCUGCCUGAGACCAUUCCAGCCCCACGACUCUGCUUCACCAUGGAACAGAGGCUGCAGACUCGCAUGGAGUCAAUAUUGCUGUGUGGAUGCUGCCUGUACCCUCCUCGUCUGAUGCAGAUGAUGAGGCAGAUGCAACAACACUGUCGAUGCUGCUACCUGAUAUUCCUGGUGCUUCUCUUCCUGAUGGAGAUGAGCUUUCUGCUGGUUGUCUUCCUUCCUGUUAUUGUGCUAGUGUUGUUAUUCACUCUAGUGAAGUAGAUAGUUGGUUAAUCUAUACACAUUAAUCUCCUCUAACAUCCACUGUAUUUCAUUAUUUAUAACAGUGUUGUCUGUUUUACCAAUGGGCCUUUAGUUUUACAAUCAUCAAUGAACCAUGUGUUUCUCUCAAAUUUCUCAAUAAAGGAGGAAUCCUCCAUGGACAUGGC
rnacentral:lncRNA from 13 species